rnacentral:rRNA from 1 species
UCCGGUUGAUCCUGCCGGAGGUUACUGCUAUCGAGGUUCGACUAAGCCAUGCGAGUCGAAUGUAGCAAUACAUGGCGAACUGCUCAGUAACACGUGGACAACCUGCCCUUAGGUUGGGUAUAAACCCGGGAAACUGGGUAUAAUACCCGAUAGGUCUCGAUUGCUGGAAUGCAUCGAGAUUUAAAGCUCCGGCGCCUAAGGAUGGGUCUGCGGCCUAUCAGGUAGUAGUGGGUGUGGCGUACCUACUAGCCUACGACGGGUACGGGUUGUGAGAGCAAGAGCCCGGAGAUGGAUUCUGAGACACGAAUCCAGGCCCUACGGGGUGCAGCAGGCGCGAAAACUUUACAAUGCUGGCAACAGCGAUAAGGGAACCUCGAGUGCCAGGUUACAAAUCUGGCUGUCGAGAUGCCUAAAAAGCAUUUCAUAGCAAGGGCCGGGCAAGACCGGUGCCAGCCGCCGCGGUAACACCGGCGGCUCGAGUGGUAACCGUUAUUAUUGGGUCUAAAGGGUCUGUAGCCGGCCGGAUAAGUCUCUUGAGAAAUCUGGCAGCUUAACUGUCAGGCUUUCAGGAGAUACUGUCUGGCUCGAGGCCGGGAGAGGUGAGAGGUACUUCAGGGGUAGGGGUGAAAUCUUGUAAUCCUUGAAGGACCACCAGUGGCGAAGGCGUCUCACCAGAACGGACCUGACGGCAAGGG